rnacentral:tRNA from 1 species
CGGCAGGUUGUAGCCCUGUGCAGGCGGGUUCAGUCCCGUUCUUAUCA